GACGAACGCUGGCGGCGUGCUUAACACACGCAAGUCGAACGGAAAGGCCCUGCUUUUGUGGGGUGCUCGAGUGGCGAACGGGUGAGUAACACGUGAGUAACCUGCCCUUGACUUUGGGAUAACUUCAGGAAACUGGGGCUAAUACCGGAUAGGAGCUCCUGCUGCAUGGUGGGGGUUGGAAAGUUUCGGCGGUUGGGGAUGGACUCGCGGCUUAUCAGCUUGUUGGUGGGGUAGUGGCUUACCAAGGCUUUGACGGGUAGCCGGCCUGAGAGGGUGACCGGCCACAUUGGGACUGAGAUACGGCCCAGACUCCUACGGGAGGCAGCAGUGGGGAAUAUUGCACAAUGGGCGGAAGCCUGAUGCAGCAACGCCGCGUGCGGGAUGACGGCCUUCGGGUUGUAAACCGCUUUCGCCUGUGACGAAGCGUGAGUGACGGUAAUAGGUAAAGAAGCACCGGCUAACUACGUG
rnacentral:rRNA from 1 species